CUAAAAUUAAUAAUAGAAAACUUAUCAAUUUGUUUUGUAUCUUAGUUUACUGAGGAUAAGCUCAGUAAAAAUAAUAAAAUAGUAUACAUCUCAUUUAGCUAGCUAUAUGGGCUUGAAAUUAGCCAUUGUAUUAAAGUUUGUUACAAAAUAGUUUUUAUAUAUAGAAAGAUUGAUAUACUUUUUUUACAGGGGUAACAUGAAAAAUCAUGAUAUCUUGAUUCACUUAUGCUAGGAUGAGUAUUGAUGUAUAAAAUAUAUAAAUAAAAAUAGAAAGAUAUAUAAAAUAACUUUGCUCAAAACAAAAUAAGAAUAAGGAAUUCAGCAACGCUUAGCUCCGCCUGUUUAUCAAAAACAUGGCUCUUUGUUAACUAAAUAUAAAGAGUCAGACCUGCCCAGUGAAGUUUUAACGGCCGCGGUACUCUGACCGUGCAAAGGUAGCAUAAUCAUUUGCCUUAUAAUUGAAGGCUUGUAUGAAUGGUUUGACGGGAGCAUUACUGUCUUUUUCUUACCCUAUAGAACUUGACCUUUGGGUGAAGAGGCCCAGAUACAGUUGAAAGACAAAAAGACCCUGUCGAGCUUAAAAAGGAAUCGGAAUAAUUUUAUUAUUCAAGAUUAAUUACUGACUAAUUUUUUUGGUUGGGGCGACCAAGGAACAAAAAAGCUUCCUCUAUUUUCUUAGCUAAUAAGCAUGGAUCCAGAAAAAGCUGAUUAAAAGAAGUAGUUACCGCAGGGAUAACAGCAUAAUCUCUCUUGAGAGAUCUAAUCGAAAGAGGGGGUUGUGACCUCGAUGUUGGACUAGAAUAUCCCAAAGAUGCAGAAGUCU
rnacentral:rRNA from 1 species